GUCUAUGAUGGCCGAGAACCAGGCAUCGAGCUUUUAACUCGACCACAGUUAUUAUCACUUCAAGACA
rnacentral:tRNA from 1 species